UGCUGUGGUGAGGGUGAGAUCUUUUAACACUUGUCUCCUCCUUGGAUAACUACCAUGCCAUGUCUGACACAUUCCCUGAGGUGUCCCCUGCACACCCUCAUGUCUGACAGCUCUGCCUCCUGUUCCCAACUGUGCCUGGUGCACCCAGCAGGAGCAGCUGCUCCAGAAAACCCUGUUUUUUCCCCUGGCAGCUGAAUGCUCUUGGAGCAGAUAUGCUGUUCUGUGACUGGACAUCUCCACUCUGCGGCCCCACGUGUGACCCUGACAUUCGGGGAUUUGGCAGACCUGUAGAAGGAACAAGUGUGCCUGUGGGAACGGUGACAUUGUAUGGAACCUGUAGCACCUAAAUGCUUUUUCUUCGUGGAAGGGGUGGUCAGACCUUGGUAGGGGCUGCCCAGGGAAGUUUGGAAUCCUUGUCCCUGGAGGUGUCCAAGGAAUGACUGGAUGUGGCACCCAACUGACAGGCUGGUGAGAGGUCAAAGCAUGGACUCGAUGAUCUUGGAGGUGUUUUCCAACCUUAACAAUUCAGUGAUUCUGUAAAAACAGAGGAGUGGCAUUAGUGGAGACUGGCACAGUAACUGAGCUGCUGGUGGGCUGAGGCCACUGCUCAUGGCUGGAAAUAUCCUCUGUCCUUGAUUUUCACUGCUGGAAGAGCAAGGAUGUGCCAGAGCUCACCCUAGGUCAGGGGUGGCUCCAUGUGGUGGAAAAAUCUCUCCCCCAACCCGUGCUGUCAAAAAAAAGCUCAGAAGUCUUCUGUUUUUCAGUCUCAAGGCAGUUUAUUGCAAAUUAUCUAAAAGAUUUUCUUCUCAGGCUGCUGUGGUUUGCUCACAGCUCAGGCAGAGGCACACACACACCCUGACAUCCUCUCUGACUCCCGACUGCUUCUUCUCUCCCUGCCAGGGCUGCUGCUGUCUUUUAUAUGGUACAUUACGUGUUACAUGGGUACAGUUUUUCCCCAAUGCCUAUUACCUAUAUUAAAUGGUGCUUUUCUACUCUAAACCAAUCUGUGAGUGCCAACAUCACCAAGAACAUGGAGGUAAGGAAGAAAGAGGGAGGACAGGACAGGUCCAGAUCCCUCCACCUUAAAACUUCUGACCCCCAUGUACAAAACCAAAACCCCCCUGUACAGCACUCACAAAUUCUUCCCUUUACUUUGUGACUACUUCUACUAUAAUAUCUAAAUUUUGUGACUUCUUGUUCUUCCUGCAAGGUUGGUAAAUCAUUCCAUUUUUUGGGUUCAAACCCAAAAUCACAGCUGUUUCCAGCUGUCUGCCAGGGUCUCAAAUGCUUCUGACCUGGGCCUGGAACAUCCAAAAAUGUCUGAGGGACAUUUUGAGUUCCGACAGGGAUGGAGUCUCCAAAAUCGUUGACGAUAAUCUGCUUGGUGUGCCAAGAGAGGCUGAAUGUGAGUUGUUGUGGUGGAGAGGUAAAAAGAGAGAGUUGUUUAGAACUCCCCUUGAAGGAUGGUAGCCAAACCACCAUAAAAAUUUUAUUUUGUAGUUCAUUAGAUGCAAAAGGCUGUUUAAACACCACAUUUGUUUGCAUGGGUGCAGAGCAGGGUCAGAACACUAAUUUUGCCCUUCCCUUCAUUGCUGUAAAAUGUAAAUAGAUUUCUUUAUGAACUGUGUGAUUUACUUCAGUCCACAAAGGUACUUCCAAACUCUGAAUUGAAGGACUUGUUGUGCACUGGUUUUCAUUUAGUGAAUUGUAUUCCCAAAGAGAGGGACUGGGAUUAUUGAAAGGUAUUUAUGUCUCUAAUGAUGCCUUGGAAAAACAGGUCACAGCUGAGGUCAUGUUGGCUGCCAAGUGUUAAGAAACUGUACAAAUACAUCCCUUGGGCUGUGAAUAAACAUAAUAUUUCUGCAGAAUUAUGUUUUACUUGCACUUUAUAGCAUUGGUGCUUUUACCUUUCAUUAAACUGUGCAGAUAUUUGGGGAUUUGCUGUUUGCAUUUUAAGAAAUAAAAGCUCUUGCUUUUCUACAGUGAUUGGUUCUUUUGCAUUUAUUUAUAUAGUGUUGACUUUUUUUUCACAGAAGGUGUAGGUAGCAGUCAUUUUUAUUCCUUUUUUCCCCUAUUACAUGCUUGAGUUUAAAGAAUUACUAAUUAAGUUCUUCAUUAGCUAAUUUGUGUUGCAAAACACAAAGUUUGUAAAAGGUGCUGUUACUUCUGAGAACAUUUGUGCUGCAAAUUAAUUUUUCUACACUUCAACAGAAAGUGCCUGAAUAUAGGAAAUAAAAAAAUAUUAAUUUUAACAUACAUUGAGUGAUAAGUCCCAAACUUCUUCUUUUAGGUCAUUAUAAAUCAACACUUGAUUGUCCUAUGCAGAUGCAGUAGGAAAUGUGACACAAAAGUUAAUUUUUAGAUCCAAGUACCUAGAACAAUAUUGGUCCACAAAUACAGCCAGGAGAUUUAUGGACACAGAGCUUUCUUUUUCAUGAGCAAACAGAACAAUCCCAAUUGU
ensembl:lncRNA